AGCAGCUCAGAAUGAUGACGACGGUCCACACUAGCCAGAACCCUGGGAGUUGGGGAGGCAAGACAGAGAGGCACACACAGUGAGGACCGGCAAGAUGGGGCGGCUCGCAAUCGAGGUCUAGAUGGUAUCCUCACGACUGGGCACGAUCAAGGUCUAGAUAGUACCCUCACAGCUGGGCACAGACAGCAGGCCUCACCCUGUCAUUUUAUGUCAAACCAUACAUUCAAAAAACAAUAAAAAAAAAAAGAUUUAUUUAUUGAGUAUGUAUAGUGUUCUGUCUGCAUGUGUCCCUCCAGGCCAGAAGAGGGCACCAGAUCUCAUUAGAGAUGGUUGUGAGCCAACAUGUGGUUGCUGGGAAUUGAACUCAAGACCUCUGGAAGAAGAGGUUAGUGCCAUCUCUCUAGCCUCCUUAAAUAUCUUUUUGCUACAGGCAAAUAUGCUCAGGACAAAAGGAAGGGAAUGGGAAGGAAAGGAGGGUCAAGCCCAUCAAUCACUUCAGCACACUGCCAGGGUCUGUGCUUUAGAUGAGGUGGACACUAAUACGAGACCCUAGACAAAAUACUUGAGCCUUUCUGCUGCUGGCUCCCUCCUCUGUCCCAACCCAGAAGACCUGCAAUUGCGGGGGAUUCCAGAGCAGCCCAGCACAUAAGAAUUCUACAGUCAGGCAGUAGAUUCCCACGCUUUUAAUCCCAGCACUCGGGAGGCAGAGGCAGGUGGAUCUCUGUGAGUUCAAGGCCAGCCUGGUCUACAAAGAGAGUUCCAGGACAGUCAGAGCUGUUUCAGAGAAACCCUGAAAUCUUAGGGUUCACCUGAUGAGAGACAAGCUGAGGCUUUUCCCAUGUGGCUCUGUAAACCAUGAUCACUAAACAGAAAUGGAAAAGUUUUAAUUGCCUCAGGCCCUCUCUUCCCCGGAGAGUGUAAAUGGCUUCCUGUGUUAUCUAUAAUUGGGUAUAAUUCCAUCUCCUGCUGCCUCAACAACCCACUACUCCCCCUCCCGCCACCACCCCUUAAACCUGCCAGGGCAGAGGACACUGGCCACCUCCCUUUCUUCCUCCACUCCAGGCCGUGUGGAGUAGACGACCACAGCCCUCUCAUUUCCCACUGCCUCAGGAGACCCCAGGAUGAGAACACCUCCUCAAUUCUGAACAGAAGGCUUUUCAACACUUUUUAAAAAAUUAAUGGUACACUUUUGCUUAAAUAUAUACAGACAUAUAUGGGAGAAAGAUUGGAAGGAAAAACACAAGAAUAACGACCUCUUAAAAAUGUAUAUAGCUGGGUGGUGGAGCACGCCUUUAAUCCCAGCACUCGGGAGGCAGAGGCAGGCGGAUCUCUGUGAGUUCGAGACCAGCCUGGUCUACAGAGCAAGUUCCAGGACGGCCAGGACUGUUAUAUAGAGAAACCUUGUCUUAGAAAAUAAAAUUAAAUAAAUGAAUAAAUAAAUAGAUAUACAAUAAAUAGAUAAAAAUGUAUAUGUGUGAGUGCUUGCUUUCCUGGUGCCCUUGGUGGUCAGGAGGGAGUUGGCUCUCGUGGAAAUGGAGUUAUAGACGUUGUGAGAAUCCAGGCAGAUGGUGGGACCGGAACCCAGGUCCUCCACAAGAGCAGCAAGUGCCCUUAUCCACUAAGCCCUCUAUCUCUCCAGCCCCAAACAGCGAGAGAGCAUUAUGAGAAAUUUAAGCUUUUUUUCUUUCUCUUUUCUUUGUCUGCUUGUUUUUGAGGGUUUCUCUGAGUAGCCCUGGUUGUCUUGGAAUUCACCCUGUAGACCAGGCUGGCCUCAAACUCAGAGAGAGAUCCUCCUGCCUCUGCCUCCUGAGUGCUGGGGUUAAAGGCCUGGGCCACCACCUUCCAGCUGGCUUUGUUUUUUUCAAAUGAUACAUUUAUUUCUAAAAGGUACUGUGUAGGGUGGAUUUGACAAAAAACACGUAUGUGCAUGCAUGAGAUUGUGAAACAUCUUUUAAAUUACCCUAUGUGUGUAUAAUGUAUCAGUGUAGAUGCUGUGUAUAUGUGUGUAAAGGUCAGAGGAUAAUUUAUGUACGUGCAAGGUCUGGGAGUAACUUCCAGUGCAGAAAUCAGGGGGUACUUUAUGAGCGUUUAUUAACACCAUAAAGUAACCUCCCCUUUAGAGACAGGGUCUCACAUGGCAUAGGCUGGCCUUAAACUUACUAUGCAGCUGAGGCUGGCCUUGAAGUCCUGAUCUUCCCAUCCCUACCUCCCAAGGGCUAGAAUACAGGUGUGUGCCACCACUCCUGGCUGAUCCCAGUGCUUUCUAUAUGACUUUUUUGUUCUCAUUAUUCUAAUUUUAGUAAGGUCUAUGAAGCCAUAGAAUGGCAAUAAAUGUAAUUAACUUAAAAUAUGAAGUGUGCUAACAGCCUAAUAUGGCAAGUUGCCGUUAUCUUUUUAAGUUGUCAUAGAGUUUAAUUGUAUUUAAUAAGCCAUAUUUGGGGGCUUUUUUUUUUUGGUUUUUCGAGACAGGGUUUCUCUAUGGUUUUGGAGCCUGUCCUGGCACUAGCUCUGUAGACCAGGCUGGUCUCGAACUCACAGAGAUCCGCCUGUCUCUGCCUCCUGAGUGCUGGGAUUAAAGGCGUGCGCCACCACCGCCCGGCUAUUUGGGGGCUUUUUAAAAGAUUAUUUAUUUAUUACAUAUAUUAUGCCUGCAUGCAUACCUGCACCCAGAAGAGGGCACCAGGUCUCAUUACAGAUGGUUGUGAGCCACCACGUGAUUGCUGGGAAUUGAACUCAGGAACUCUGGAAGAAGAGUCAGUGCUCUUAACUGCUGAGCCAUCUCUCCAGCCCCCGGGGAAGGGGGCUUAUUUGUUUAAGACAGGGCCUCACUAUAUAGGCCAAGCUGGCAUCAAUACCUUCCUUCCUCCGAGGGCUGAAAUCACGUGUCCAGAGCGUACUCUGUACACAGCAUAUCUGACACCAUUCAGAGAAGACACACAAUACAGUGUAUUGUUUUUCUUUUCAGAAAAGUACAAACAUGCGCGCGUGUGUGUAUGUGUGUAGCUUGUGGAGAGUGUGUAUGUGUGUGUGUGUGUGUAGCUUGUGGAGAACAACUAUGGGGUGUCAGUCCUAGGCUGUCGGCCUUGGAGGCCAGCGCAUCUUUACCCCUUGAGCCAUCUCUCUGGCCCAGAAGAGGGCACUGCGCCCACUGGAGCUGGGGUUACAGCGAGAGCAGCAAGUGCUCGACACAAUUGACCGAACUAUCUCUCUAGGCCAGUGGUUCUCGACCUUCCUAAUGCUGCAACCCUUCAGUACAGUUCCUCAUGUUGUGGGGACCACCAAUUAUUUUUGUUGCUGCUUCAUAACUGUGCUUUUGCUACUGAGCAGUGUUCUUGGUUCCCGAGACCAGAGGGAAAGUGUUUUCCAAUGGUCAAGACCAACAGGCUGAGAACCGCUGCUCUAGGUCACCAUUUUCUUUCCCCUGGGAUUGAAUGCUAAGUGAGCAUCCUCCCACCAAGCCCUCUGGUCCCUAUUCCUACCCUCACUCCACAGCUCAGCUUUAAAAUCAGUAAUUAACGUUAUUUUUACUUGGAUCGUUUUCCCAGUAUUUCCCCAUCUUCUACAUUUUCUAUAUUAUAAUAUACGUGAUCCAAGGCAUCAUUCUCAACUUCUGUGACUUUUGCUUUAAAUUCAGCUGUUAAGUAAAGAAAAUCUCAGCCGGGCAUAGUGACACAUGCCUGUAACCUGCACUCCAGCGUGAAGGUCUAUCUCAGUUCAGAGUUAACGUGGGCCAUCUCAGCAAACAAGAGAAAUCCCAUACCCCACCUUUCAUGUUCACCGAAGAUUCCUGAUUCUCUGCCUUUGGGUGCACAGGUAAGGCUGAACUUCCCAGCCUCUAUGUGUGUGUGGGAAUAUGGGACUAAUUCCACCCACAGCAGAAAUCAUGAGUGGCGUGCCACUGAGAGACUAGAAUGUUUCUUGUGUGACACCUCCCGUCGGCUUUCCAACAGCACCCCAGACAGUCGUGUCUGGCUCUAGGCUGUGAGACACACUCCAGCGGGAACAAAGCCCCAUUUCCCCUUCAGUGGACACACAGUAAGAAUGAGAAAGCCUGUCAGUUUUGGGCACUAGGAUUUUGGACCUGUGUUCCAGGAAACCUAGCCUACCCUGACCGCCACAGUGUGCCUACAGUGUUUCCUACUCAAGAUUGAAGUAUUUAUCAGGAAUCAUUUAAAAGGUUGUGUUACAUUUUUGUUUAUUCUGUGCACAUGGAUAAAGGUCAGAGGUCAAAUGGGUAGAACUGGUUCUCUCUUUCCACCAUGACAGUCUGGGAUCGGCAGUCUACCUCUUGAGGAUUCUUAAACGGAGUCUUGAUAUAAAACAAUGCAGAGGCCCUCUUAACUGAAGUAGCAUAGGAAAAGCUUUCUUUUUUCUCAAAAAAAAAACAAAAACAAAAACAAAAAAAAACAAAA